rnacentral:lncRNA from 1 species
GCUUUUGUUUUCGGUCUACGAGGGUACGUGAACAACACUCUCCCCUCUUGUUGCUAUGCAUCACCAUGAUCUUGCAUGUGCGUAGCAAAUUUUUGAAAUUACUACGUUCUCCAUCAUGUAGGAGUAACAAAACAAAGAAGAACAUCUAAAGAAAGGAAAUAAGCAGACACCUAUUUCUUCCGAGCAAAUGUACACGCUAUGACACAACAUGAUCAUGCUUAUCAAUUGAACAUCAGGAAGGAAGAAACUACCAUAUGCCAGUGCGGAGGUAAGGGCCAGCACACACGGCGAACGAGGCAUCGAUGGCGACGGCAUUUUCAUCUAGCACGGUGGAAUUGAUCAGUGUGACGACAUCAAAUCCAGAACUCCCAGCCCAUAUGUCUCUCCCCUCGACUGCAAUUGUCACAACAAUAAGUAUAUCAAUCAAUAUCUAUGGACACAGCUGCAUGAGGGAACAACAGAAAAAACACAUCAAUCAGUAUGCUUGUACAGUACACACACCUUCGAUAACAUUAUAUUCUCCUUUCGAUAUUUGAUUUCUACCACAUAAUAAGCACUGUCAUCCAUCCUUCAAAGUCCUGGUUGUUAAUUCUGCAUCAUGUGUGUGGUAAUCUGGAUUCAGCAAACUCUGAAUCCUUUCCUGAUAAUCUCAGUGUUAUCAACUUAUCAUAGAAGAAGAAUUGUUUGAAAAAACCUACCAGAAAAAAGGUUGCCACGGGACAAAUCAAGAAACCUAUUGUCCCAGUUUUAAAUCAAGCAACAGCGAACUCACCUUAUUGAGUACACAACCAGAACCAUCAUCCGUUGCACAUAGAGGAGGAGGACAUCGUAGGCAAAAGGGAGUGUGUUGGCGGCAGACAACGAUGCCUUUGGUUUCUCAUCAGUCUCGUCUAGGCUUCGAUUGCAUAUAAGUAAGCGUUACACGGGGUGGGCCGCUGCUCCAGUAACAAAUUUGUCGAUUUGCCAUUCAUUUAGCCUGACUUAGCUUUUAAUGUGUUCCUAGCUCUCACCCUUAUUAUAUCUCUAACCGGCCACACGAUAACUUUUCUGCUAAAAUUGUUGCAGGUGAAUUUUGGCCUUCCCUUCAUCUUUCACUCUGUCAAGUAAAUCUGAACUUAUCCUAUAUCAAUUUAUGAAUGCAAUAGUAUUAAAUACUAAUGGCAAAUGGGAAAAGUUGUUGAUAUAACUUGUAACAUCUUAAUUUUGGAAGAGAAUGAUUAACCAACUGCAAUUGGAGUUACUUAAGUUCAGUGCUUACUAUACAGUAUGUACUAUCUAUCUAUGUCAGAACACUUCUAAGUUCUUGCAGGAAUGGGAAACUCUCAUUGUAGACUCACUGUUUGGGCAAUAAAGAUCACUUAUGGGUAUUACUAAUCUUAUUAUGCCAAAUGUCAAAUAUUACCAGGCAAACAGAAGUGAUGGCCGCACUGUGAAGAGCACCUUAAAUACCAUCAGCAAAUAUGUACGCGUCAUUGUAAGUAUAUCUUGUACUGUUCACUGCUUGCAGAUCAAAUUAACAGUAAGAAAGUGCAUAAUCUUCCCUUGUCAGAACCUGAAAUCAGAAAAAAGGUACAUACGGGUGAUUCUCACCUUGACGCUGAACGGGGCAAGCAACUGCUUGCAGCAGAAUUGGUGGAGGACCAGCCCUUGUUCAUCGCAACCAGCUUGGCCGGGGG